CAACCCAAUAAACGUACGCCUCGUUAUUGGUGAGUCCGUAAAAGAUGGGGAUAUCAGCCUUGCGCUUACUGGCGUACUGGGAGUUAUAGGCUCCUCGGUGGAUGUCGCAACGAUGGAUUUGAAAGUCCUCGUCCGGAGGAUCCGUCGUCCCACUGGUUUGUGUCUGGUGGUCGUGGGUGGGAGUUUAGGGGUGUUCGAUUGGCGUGGAAUGGUGGUGGGACUGUCUGAGUGAAUGGUGGUGGAACGCGUGAGGUGGAUGAGAUGGAUGUUCGGUUGAGGUAGAUAUGAACGGUCGUGGAGUGAUGGAGCCGGUAAGGUUGGAGGCGCUGACAGUGGCUAGGAGUGAAUGGACUUCUCGCAGUUGGUCAUCAUUGUGGCGUUUUAGUAACUUGGUCAUCUUCCUGAACAUGUCUUCUUGGAAUGCCAAGAGCUCUGAUCGGCGGACGGGCGGGUCGUUCUGGUCGGCCAUGACUAUCGGUCGCGGGAGCAGGGAUGCGAGCGACGGAGGCUUUGAUACCAAAUGACGCAGACGCGUCCAGCCACGGACAGGCGGACGGCGGGAUCGCGGAACGCGCGCGAUCGACAGAGGAGGACGGGCGGGGAGAAAUGGAAAACGAGCGGGAAGAAAUUGAAGCAAGCCAGCAGUGGUGAUCGGAUUCUUUUAUUGAAAUAGAGUCUGAUUACAUAGAGCUAAUACGGGGAAGAGUAAAACAAGAGGCAGGAUGAUGCCGCCUGAUGCAGCAGCAGAAGGUGCAAGAAUCCGACGAUGAUCGGCGGGAGAUCUGGAGAACAGAGACAGCGGAUUAGAGGUAGUAGGGAAAACAGAAAAGAGGAGGUAGUGGGGGGCAGCGUGGUUACC
rnacentral:lncRNA from 1 species